rnacentral:rRNA from 1 species
CCCUACGGGGCGCAGCAGGCGCGAAAACUUUACAAUGCGGGCAACCGUGAUAAGGGAACCUCGAGUGCCUGUACAUGCAGGCUGUCUGGGUGUCUAAAACACACCCAAAGAAAGGGCCGGGCAAGACCGGUGCCAGCCGCCGCGGUAAUACCGGCGGCUCGAGUGGUGGCCACUUUUAUUGGGCUUAAAGCGUUCGUAGCUGGGUUGUUAAGUCUCUUGGGAAAUCUGGCAGCUUAACUGUCAGGCGUUAAGAGAUACUGGCAAUCUAGAACCGAGA